rnacentral:lncRNA from 1 species
UGAAGGGGAGGAGGCCAGGGUCCAAAGUACCCUGAGGGAGAAGGGGUGACAGAGGCAGACUAUCUCAUGGGGGGAGAAAGAGGGGACAGCAAGGCCACAGUGUCUGAGCCUAGCCUGGCAUAGGAAAAAGAUCCUGGAGAAGCCAACCCCAAGUCCCUUCCAGGGGAUGGGGGAACAGAGCUUAAGAGGAUCUGAAGAGGGGGAGGGCAUAGCUGGGUGUGAGUGGUAAGGAUUCCUGUGUCCUCAUCUCUGGAAUAAAUUGACACCUGCAGAGAGCCACCCGCGAGCUGGCGCCUGGCUCUGAAAACCCCGCGUCAGCAAACAGCUCAGGCGGCUGGUGGGGGGCAGGGGGGCUUGCUGAAAUGACCUGGGUAUCUGCCCCUUGGGUCUGAUCUCUUCCCUUGUCCUGUCCCUGGUGCCCUGAGUACACAGGCCUCAGAGCAGCAAUGGUGGGGACGCUGGCAAGGGGAAGGAAAGGGGAAUGGAUGGGAUGGGAAGAGAGGAGAAUAAAGCUAAGGUUUGCCCCCAGGACAUAGGUCAAAAUGCAGUGAAAGAGGAGGUGUCUGGGGUCCAGAGCUGUUCAAGAUUGUGGGAGGGGGCAGUCAGUAGGCUCAUUUGAUGCCUUCAAACCACUUCAGUGCCCCUUCUCUCCAGUCAGAGGCCUGGUCACUAGGACUAAACUCUGAUUGGCUCGCAAGGGGGGCAAGAGGCGGAUCUUUAGGGUUCUCCAUGCCCCCAGAUUCCCCUUCCCCUCAACAUAUAUACUUCAUCUAUGCUACUAUUGGGGAAAACUAGUAUUCAGACUCACGCCUCUGCCCUCCCCAUCAUGCCCUGAAUGGACCCCACAACUAAGCCAGCCCCUUCCCCUCUUCCUCCAGACACCCCCUCCAGGAUUAAAGCUGCAGCCCCGUUGCCGAGGUAACAUUGCGGGGCAGCAUCCCGUCGCCCGGCAACCGGCUGCAGGAUCACGCAUCUGUCCCUGGAUUUGCCCCUCCAGUAUCGCCUCUCUUUUCUAACCCCUGCCUUGAGGUACCCCAACUUAUGAAGAAGGAAAGGAAGCUGGGGAGAUAGGAGUCUCAGGGUUGCAAAAUCCUUAGAGAAUGACAUGAAGGGGAAAGAAGGAGCUUGGGUCUGUUCGGUCCCAAGAAAGACCCAAGUCUGGCCCAGGGUGGGGGUUCAGUGCCAUGAAAUUAUAGCUCAGGAGUAAUUACACGUAUAAACAAACCCGCCACUUCCUGCUAAUUAAUGACUUGGUAUUUUUAUUUUCUCUUCCUUGUCUGUCUCAUUCCCUCCCAGGGAGGUGGGGACUGGGACUCCUGAGUCCCUGGGGAGAGCCUGCCUGGGAGGGAUAAAGAAGCUGGGAAGGGACUGCUGGGUCUGGGGAACUGGCCCCUGGGUCUCCACCGACUUUGUACAGGACCUUUACCACAUCUGACCCCACCUCUAGCUUGGGACCCUGCUGAAGAGAGAAGGGCUGCUGGGGGGAGGGAGGAGGGGCCAGGGGCCUGUGGGUGGAAGAAGGGUGGCAACUUGGUCUGAAAUCCAAGUCACUAACCACUUGUCUCUUCUGUUUCCCCAUUCCUUUCUGUCCUCCCCAUCCAAUUUCCUUUCCCUUCUUCCACCUCUCCUCCGUAUUUUUCUGUCUGUCCGUCUGUCUGUAUCUUGCACACCCUGUCCCUCCUGUUCUGCCUCCCGCAGGUCGGGCCUGCCUUCACCUUCUUCCACCUCGUUUCCCUUCCCCACCCCUUGCCCCCUCAAUGGAGAGGAACAGACCCCUUCUCUGUCCCGUCUAACCCAGGUCCCUCCCCGCCCCCUUCCUCCCUCCUGUCCCCCGC